CUUUCUCAAUCUAUAUGUUUUAAAAAAAUAACUCUUUGAAUCAUUUUGCAUAUCAUUUUUUAGUCUUUUAUUUAUUUCUUCCGUAAUCUUUGUAGUUACUUGCACUGUUUUUGGUUUGCAUUUAGCUUCUCAGUUCCCUAAAGCCUUGCAGUCCAAUGUGAGAUUAUUUAUGUGAAGUCUCUUUGAUAUUUUUUUCUCCAUCGUUAUUAACUUAGGUAUUUUUUAUUUACAUUUCAAUUGUUAUUCCCUUUCCCGGUUUCCGGACCAACACCCCCAUAACCCCUCCCCCUCCCCUUCUAUAUUGGACAAACAAAAUGUCUUAGUAGAUUAUCCUUUCCUCUCCUUCUCCAUCUCAGUGCUACCAGUACCAAGUCUCUCAUCCUAUAUCAUGGCUCCCUUCCUAUGAUAUCAUGGCCCCUAUGACAUUUUGCACCCCCAUCCUUUCUCAAUACCUAAUUUUUUAUAUCAUGGUUUCUUUGCUAGCUUUUUAGGGUUUACCCACAUUUACACCACUGUUCUACUCCUAAGUACGCCCCAAAGACUUCAACUCCUACCACAAGAACACUUGGAUGUCUAUGGCUGCUGCUCUGUUCACCAUGGCAAGGAUAUGGAAGCAGCCUGGAUACCCGUCAACAGAUGAAUGGAUCAUGAGGUGGGCGAGCAUGAUGAAGAAAGAAAAACGAAAUCGUGAAAUUUGCAGGGUCAACCAUCAGGGGUCGUCGUCAGGGGCAUUUAGAGACACUUGGCUUUGACUUUGGCCUUGCUCACUGGACUUAGAAGGUGGAGAUCAUCCCCAAGGAUCAACCCCGAGGGUGCUGGUCCUCACUUUCUGUCCUAUUAAGACGUCUUUCUUGGUGCUCAUCCAUGUGACACCAGACAGGCUCACCCAGGAGUCUCUGUGCUUCUCCUGUCUCUGCCUCCCAUAACUGUGCUGUGAUUACAGAUGUGCGAGCUUGGCUGACUUUUCCAUGGGUUCCAGCGUUCCAGCCUCAGGUCAUGCUUUAGCCACUCAGCUGUUUUACCUCCCCAAACCUCUUUUUCUAGAACUCUGAGAUGAGACUAUAGAUGAUUGUCUUGACAUACUUUCUUUUCUUUAGUGUAGGAUUUGGUAUAAAUCUAUCUCCUGGGGCUUCUGUAGUUAUAUCCCACAAAAUUUGAUAUAUUUUAUUUCCAUUUUCAUUAAAUUCAAUGGGCUUUAAAUAUUUUGAACCUUUCUCUUUGAUUCAUGGAUGAUUAGAAAUAUAUGAUUUAAUGUCCACUUGACUAAAUAUUUUUGCUAUUGAUUUAAAAUUUUAUUACAAUGUAGUAAGAGAACACAUUCCAUGUGGCUUGAGGUGGGGGGGAUCUGUCUUGGUACAUAUCCCACAGGUACUAGAAAACAAUGUUUACUGAUAUUGGUAAAUAAAUAUUCUACAGAUGA